rnacentral:rRNA from 1 species
GUGGGGAAUCUUAGACAAUGGGGGAAACCCUGAUCUAGCCAUGCCGCGUGAGCGAUGAAGGCCUUAGGGUUGUAAAGCUCUUUCAGAUGGGAAGAUAAUGACGGUACCAUCAGAAGAAGCCCCGGCUAACUCCGUGCCAGCAGCCGCGGUAAUACGGAGGGGGCUAGCGUUGUUCGGAAUUACUGGGCGUAAAGCGCACGUAGGCGGACCAGAAAGUCAGAGGUGAAAUCCCAGGGCUCAACCUUGGAACUGCCUUUGAAACUCCUGGUCUUGAGGUCGAGAGAGGUGAGUGGAAUUCCGAGUGUAGAGGUGAAAUUCGUAGAUAUUCGGAAGAACACCAGUGGCGAAGGCGACUCACUGGCCCGUUACUGACGCUGAGGCGCGAAAGCGUGGGGAGCAAACAGGAUUAGAAACCCUUGUAGUCC